rnacentral:tRNA from 1 species
ACAGUGGUAGUUCAGUGGUAGAAUUCUCACCUUCCAUGGGGCAGACCCAGGUUUAAUUCCUGGCCAGAGUA